rnacentral:misc_RNA from 1 species
GUAGUCACCCGGGUUGCCGCAAGGCCUCUCGGGUAACCUACCACCCCUUGUUUAUUACACUUUGUUGCUUUGGCAAGCCUGCCCUCGGGCUGCUGGCUCCGGCCGGCGAGCGCUUGCCAGAGGACCCCAAACUCUUUUGUUAAUGUCGUCUGAGUACUAUAUAAUAGUUAAAACUUUCAACAACGGAUCUCUUGGUUCU